AGAGUUUGAUCCUGGCUGAGAUUGAACGCUGGCGGCAGGCCUAACACAUGCAAGUCGAGCGGAAACGAGUUAUCUGAACCUUCGGGGAACGAUAACGGCGUCGAGCGGCGGACGGGUGAGUAAUGCCUAGGAAAUUGCCCUGAUGUGGGGGAUAACCAUUGGAAACGAUGGCUAAUACCGCAUGAUGCCUACGGGCCAAAGAGGGGGACCUUCGGGCCUCUCGCGUCAGGAUAUGCCUAGGUGGGAUUAGCUAGUUGGUGAGGUAAGGGCUCACCAAGGCGACGAUCCCUAGCUGGUCUGAGAGGAUGAUCAGCCACACUGGAACUGAGACACGGUCCAGACUCCUACGGGAGGCAGCAGUGGGGAAUAUUGCACAAUGGGCGCAAGCCUGAUGCAGCCAUGCCGCGUGUAUGAAGAAGGCCUUCGGGUUGUAAAGUACUUUCAGUCGUGAGGAAGGCGGCGUCGUUAAUAGCGGCGUUGUUUGACGUUAGCGACAGAAGAAGCACCGGCUAACUCCGUGCCAGCAGCCGCGGUAAU
rnacentral:rRNA from 1 species